rnacentral:rRNA from 1 species
UUAAGUCUUGACGAGUAAGAGGGUCGCGGCGGUGAGCGCAGAAGGGUCAGGGCGAGAGCCUGCCUGGAGCCGCCGUCGGUGCAGAUCUUGGUGGUAGUAGCAAAUACUCUAGCGAGGGCCUGGAGGACUGACGUGGAGAAGGGUUUCUUGUGAACAGCCGUUGCACAAGAGUCAGUCGAUCCUGAGCCCUAGGAGAAAUCCAAUGUCGAUGGGUAGCUUGACAAAAAUAAUGUAUAGCGCAAAUUGUUGUUUCAUGCUGCUGCUUUUACAAAAUUGAAAACAGCUCCUGUCGGGCAAAAGGGAAUCCGGUUCCUAUUCCGGAACCCGGCUGCGUAACCGCCACUCAGCGGGCACUUGCUUGCGAGCGCUCGUCGGGGUAACCCAAACUGGCCUGGAGACGCCGGCGGGAGGUCUGGAAAGAGUUUUCUUUUCUUUAUAAGCGUUCGAGUACCCUGGAAUCCUAUAGCAGGGAGAUAGGGUUUGGAACGCGAAGAGCACCGCAGUUGCGGCGGUGUCCGGACCUUCCCCCCGGACCUUGAAAAUCCAGGUGAGGGCCACGCGGAAGUCGCGCCGG